rnacentral:rRNA from 1 species
GAAAUAACGUCCCAGUUCGGAUUGUAGUCUGCAACCCGACUACAUGAAGCUGGAAUCGCUAGUAAUCGCGAAUCAGAAUGUCGCGGUGAAUACGUUCCCGGGUCUUGUACACACCGCCCGUCACACCAUGGGAGUCGGAAAUGCCCGAAGUCAGUGACCCAACCGUAAGGAGGGAGCUGCCGAAGGUGGAGCCGGUAACUGGGGUGAAGUCGUAACAAGGUAAC